GGAUAUUUUUGCUCUUGCAACGAUGAAGAACGCAGCGAAAUGCGAUACGUUAUGUGAAUUGCAGAAUUCCGCGAAUCAUCGAGUCUUUGAACGCAACUUGCGCCCGAGGCUUGUCCGAGGGCAUUUCCGCUAGAGCGUCACC
rnacentral:rRNA from 1 species